AGCUUUGCGCAGUGGCAGUAUCAUAGUCAAUGAGGUCAAACCGAGGCGUGAUUAUUGCUAAUUGUGAU
rnacentral:snRNA from 1 species